rnacentral:rRNA from 1 species
AUACGGAGGAUGCGAGCGUUAUCCGGAUUUAUUGGGUUUAAAGGGAGCGUAGGUGGGAUAUUAAGUCAGCUGUGAAAGUUUGGGGCUCAACCUUAAAAUUGCAGUUGAUACUGGUUUCCUUGAGUACGGUACAGGUGGGCGGAAUUCGUGGUGGAGCGGUGAAAUGCUUAGCUAUCACGAAGAACUCCGAUCGCGAAGGCAGCUCACCGGGCCGGAACUGACACUGAUGCUCGAAAGUGCGGGUAUCAAACAGGAUUAGAUACCCUGGUAGUCCGCACAGUAAACGAUGAAUACUCGCUGUUUGCGAUACACGGUAAGCGGCCAAGCGAAAGCGUUAAGUAUUCCACCUGGGGAGUACGCCGGCAACGGUGAAACUCAAAUGAAUUGACGGGG